rnacentral:rRNA from 1 species
UGAGUAACCUGCCCCUAACUCUGGGAUAAGCCUGGGAAACUGGGUCUAAUACCGGAUAUGACUCCUCAUCGCAUGGUGGGGGGGUGGAAAGCUUUUUUUGUGGUUUUUGGAUGGACUCGCGGCCUAUCAGCUUGUUGGUGAGGUAAUGGCUCACCAAGGCGACGACGGGUAGCCGGCCUGAGAGGGUGACCCGGCCACACGUGGGACUGAGACACGGCCCAGACUCCGUACGGGAGCAG